CGAUCAUUUUUUAUCCCGAACCCUUCUCCCAACUCCUCAUCUCACGCGGCCUUCUCCAUCCAACUCCUCUCCGGCGAACCACUCCUCCGAACUCCUCUCCGUCAAGACCACACCUUCGUCAAGCGGCAGAUCCCGGUGCUGAGGCGAUCAACCACGAUAGAUCGACCCCUCUCUUCGCCUCCUUCGCCCCUGACGAAGCCUCUCUUCCCUCCGGCGAACGUUCACUGCACUUAGGGUAGAGCAGGCGCAUCAACUCUCUUCUUCAUCUGCAUCACCAAGCUACCCUUUGCUUAGCCGAUUCCCUUGCUAUUGGGUUCACCUGCAAGUAAUCCUCGCGCACUGAUCUCUUCUCGCUAUCAGAAGGUCCUUUCUUAGGUUCUUCUCCACUGAUUAUCUUCUCUUGUCGUUCUUUGUUUACUCGGUAAUGUUGAACUUGAGCUCUUGGGGAUCUUAGUUAAUGGUUGCCUGUGGGUGGGAAAGUUGCUCUUUUUUUGUCUUCUUGUUGUAGUGCUUUAGGGCUUUGUUUCUGAGGUGAUGGUUCUUGGUGUUAGGGAUUCUUGGUGAUCUAUUUUCUCCCUUGUGAUCGGCAGUUUUGAUGGAUAUACAUUGUUUCUUUAAUUCUUUCAGGUGUCAGUUAAACUUCGAAUUGUAGAGCAAGUUUUCCUUUUAAUUCUGUCUAUUGUUGGUUCAGGAUAGAUUCUAAACAUGAGCCGUGUCUUUCAAGAGAAGAAUGUAAGUGAUCAAUAUAAUUGUUCGGAUAGAUGGGUGAAAUUAUUUCAUCUACUGUAUGAUUUUAGAUGAGAAUGAUGGUGGAAUUACAUGCAAAGCCUUUCCCUUGCUGAUACAAAAUCCAUUUGCAUCUUAUCAUAUGCUUCUGAAACCAAAAAAAAAAAUGGAAAAGAAGGCUUAUAUAGUUAUAUAACAGAACAAUUCAAUCUUGUGAAAUAUACUUGCAUUCCAAAAGAACCUGUGCCCUCUAGCAAGACCUUCUGCAUGGCUUCCAACUCAAUUGUCCUGUCUUCUAUUUCCUGUAUGCAUGAAGUAGUGUCAUGACACUGAUACCUGAAAACUUGUGUCAGUGUUUAUGCACAUUCAAUUGGACCUUGGUUCUAUUGAUUGCAAAUCGAAGUUGCCCAAGUUCAGUUUGUAGGUGAUCAAAGAACUCUUUGUUUAAUCUGCAGUGAUUGUGUCAAAUAAGUUACAAGAUGAUAUAAGAGAUAAACCUUGUUCUAGAGCUAUCAUAAGAUGAUUGUAGCAAUUUGCUGGUGUAUUAUACUAUUAAAUCUAUCUAUCCUUGGGGAUCGCCUCAAUCAUCCUUUUUCACAAUAGUCUUUUCUUCUGUUUUUACCUCAAUAUUAUGUACUAAGUUUUUAGCAAAGAUAACUGGGGAGACCUUGAAACUACAAGAACCUUCCCUUGUUAAGACCUUGAAACUACAAGAACCUUCCCUUGUUAAGACCUUGAAACUACAAGAACCUUCCCUUGUUAGUUUUCUACACCUGAAUUUGUCACUGUUAAGAAUUGAUUAGGAUACUAAAUUCACAAAGUUGUCAAGUAAAGGUGCAACACAUAUUUUAUGAUCCGACAAGGUUGGACAUUUGCUAACAACUCCUUCAUGAUCAUGCUUGAUUAGGCUUCAAUCAUGAGACAAGAGUGCAGAAAGCAAGAGAGCAUGCUUACAGUGCAUAUAGAAUAAUAGAACCAAACAGCAAGGCCAGAAGAAAUGAAGAGAGAAGUCUAUUUUGAUUGUGUUGCCAAUUAUAUCACAAAGAUAUGUACAACGACAAUACUGCAAGCUACUUGAAAUUAUUUCACAGGUCUAUAUCAAUUGGGUCUUCAGUUUAUCAUUUGGAAUUACAUGCAAAGCCUGCUAUUUUCACUUUUAAUCUAUUUGAAACUUGUGAUAUUUAAUCUUUGUUGUUUACAUAUCUUGUUUGUCAUAAUCAAACUAUUUUUGUUCCAACUUGUUUCACAUAUAGCUGCCAGUAUUUGCUUCUAAUGCUUGUUAUUUACAUAUCUUGUUUCUCAUAAUCAGAUUUUUCCCUCUAAAUUGUUUCAUACAUAUCUUCCCAGUCUUACUUGCAGUAGAAGGUAACAUAUUAGUGUUUUAUUGAUUUAACACAACUGUUUGUGUUGUAAUUUAGAUGACUAGACUUCUGGACAUACUGGAAGAUUACUUGCUAUACCGUGGUUACCAAUAUUGAUUGAUGGGAAUACUGGGGGAGAAGAACGGGAUGCUUCCAUUGAAACAUUUAAUCAACCUGGAAGCCAAAAGUUCAUUUUCUUACUUUCUACAAGAGCUGGUGGAUUGGGAAUUAAUCUUGCUACAGCAGAUGUUGUCAUUCUCUAUGAUAGUGACUGGAAUCCACAAGUUGAUUUGCAAGCACAGGAUCGUGCUCAUAGAAUUGGGCAAAAGAAAGAAGUUCAAGUGUUCCGUUUCUGUACUGAGUUUGCAAUUGAGGACAAAGUGAUAGAGAGAGCAUACAAGAAGCUUGCACUUGAUGCCUUGGUUAUUCAACAAGGACGAUUAGCAGAAUAGAAAACUGUUAAUAAAGAUGAACUUCUACAAAUGGUUAGAUUUGGUGCUGAAAUGGUUUUUAGCUCCAAGGACAGUACAAUAACUGAUGAGGAUAUCGAUCGUAUCAUAGCUAAAGGAGAAGAAGUGACUGCUGAACUUGAUGUGAAAAUGAAAAAGUUUACAGAGGAUGCGAUAAAGUUUAAGAUGGAUGACAGUAUGUUGAUUCCUUUCUGAUAGCAAUUCCUAGAUAUUUCCUUGGAUGACUUAUGUAAUUUCUAUUUUUUGUUACAGCUGCUAACUUGUUACGUGGUCAGAAUUCUAUUAUUUUGGUAUGAGUUUGAAAUCA